GACGAACGCUGGCGGCGUGCUUAACACAUGCAAGUCGAGCGGUAAGGCCCUUUCGGGGGUACACGAGCGGCGAACGGGUGAGUAACACGUGGGUGACCUGCCCUCAGCUCUGGGAUAAGCCUGGGAAACCGGGUCUAAUACCGGAUAUGACUCCAUGACGCAUGUUGUGGGGUGGAAAGCCUUGUGCGGCUGAGGAUGGGCCCGCGGCCUAUCAGCUUGUUGGUGGGGUGAUGGCCUACCAAGGCGACGACGGGUAGCCGGCCUGAGAGGGCGACCGGCCACACUGGGACUGAGACACGGCCCAGACUCCUACGGGAGGCAGCAGGUGGGGAAUCUUGCGCAAGUGGGACGAAAGCCUGACGCAGCGACGCCGCGUGAGGGAUGACGGCCU
rnacentral:rRNA from 1 species